rnacentral:snRNA from 8 species
ACAAAUACCCGUUAAAUGGAUAUUCGUAAUAAACAAGGGGGUAAUGAUAGGAUACUAAUUGCACCCACCUAAAUCCAUUGUCAUCCCUACCUCCAUUACACUUGGGAGGGACGUGUGAGUCUAAGGUCUCCUCUAGUAGAAGAGCCUAUACAUAAUUUGUGAUAGUAGGGGCUUACAUUUUUGUGACUCUCGA